GACGAACGCUGGCGGCGUGCUUAACACAUGCAAGUCGAACGGAAAGGCCCUGCUUUUGUGGGGUGCUCGAGUGGCGAACGGGUGAGUAACACGUGAGUAACCUGCCCUUGACUUUGGGAUAACUUCAGGAAACUGGGGCUAAUACCGGAUAGGAGCUCCUGCUGCAUGGUGGGGGUUGGAAAGUUUCGGCGGUUGGGGAUGGACUCGCGGCUUAUCAGCUUGUUGGUGGGGUAGUGGCUUACCAAGGCUUUGACGGGUAGCCGGCCUGAGAGGGUGACCGGCGACAUUGGGACUGAGAUACGGCCCAGACUCCUACGGGAGGCAGCAGUGGGGAAUAUUGCACAAUGGGCGGAAGCCUGAUGCAGCAACGCCGCGUGCGGGAUGACGGCCUUCGGGUUGUAAACCGCUUUCGCCUGUGACGAAGCGUGAGUGACGGUAAUGGGUAAAGAAGCACCGGCUAGCUACGUG
rnacentral:rRNA from 1 species